rnacentral:lncRNA from 1 species
GAAAGAGACAAAAUAUGCUACUGUAAGGGAAUGGCACCGGGCGGAUAUAGCGCAUCUCGGUUCUCCUUCGAUUUGACAAAAAUCGGCUGUGGUGCAUCUAGUCGGCGCGGGAACAACAGCUUUCAGCUCAAUUCUACAUCCAACAGAGACAAGACCGGGCAAAACAAGGUCAAGUUUAGGCCGCAAUUCAGCUGAACCAGAGAUCUCAAGGCCACACAGCAACCAACUGUAACCGCUUGGACCUGCUCGACCGAUUCUAAUAGACUGCGUGCGGUUACUAAAAUGAAUCAGAUGAAUCAAUAUCAAUUAAACGAAAGAUAUAAACAAGCUGCGUGGGUUCAGAAUAGGACAGUUACUGAUAGUUUAAAUAAGUAGAAUUAGAAAAAAAUAGAAAAAGACGGCACCGUCUGUGAAAAAGGCAUAACUAGUAAUUAAGAAGCACGCCUAUUAUUAUAUUAUUCAUAGUAAUAUUAAAU